rnacentral:rRNA from 1 species
GAAUUCACUAGUGAUUCAGGCCUAACACAUGCAAGUCGAACGGUAACAGGAAUCAGCUUGCUGAUUCGCUGACGAGUGGCGGACGGGUGAGUAAUGUCUGGGAAACUGCCUGAUGGAGGGGGAUAACUACUGGAAACGGUAGCUAAUACCGCAUAACGUCGCAAGACCAAAGAGGGGGACCUUCGGGCCUCUUGCCAUCGGAUGUGCCCAGAUGGGAUUAGCUAGUAGGUGGGGUAAUGGCUCACCUAGGCGACGAUCCCUAGCUGGUCUGAGAGGAUGACCAGCCACACUGGAACUGAGACACGGUCCAGACUCCUACGGGAGGCAGCAGUGGGGAAUAUUGCACAAUGGGCGCAAGCCUGAUGCAGCCAAGGGGCGUGUAUGAAGAAGGCCUUCGGGUU